AUCUGCACACUCUUUGUAAUCAGAGACGUGGCAGGUCUAAUAAAUUAAUUACAUUUAUUUUACAAAACGGGAUUGAAACCCGUGGCUGUUACAGAAACAAUGCAUCACACAGAAAGGGCUAAGGGGUAUUCAUCAAUUAAGGACCUGUGAUGCAGGCCAAAACGUGACUUCAGCCAGCAGAGGUGGAUGCUUAGCAAACCUCAGACAGAGGCACACUGUAGGGAAAGUUUAGCUGCCAUUAUUAGGAUGGUGUUAGAAACAAAGUUAAAAACAAAAACUCUUAAGAAUUUCUCAAAAUACACAACUAAUGAUAUCUGUGUUUUCACAGGUAGAUUUAAAAAAAAAUAAAUGUUUACAGAAAUCUUUGUGAAGGUUUUUUAUUAUGAGAUAUGGAGCUUCUUUAUACCGCUCAGGUAGUUUCUUACUAACUUCAAGACUAGUAUUAAACAUUCUGAAAUAGUUAUUUUGGGGGUAGAUUCAGGGUUUGAGAUUACUACAGUUCAGAUUUUCUGAUCCGUUUUUUUAAACACUAGAGAAGAAAAGUGUAACUUGAAAAGCAGCUUCAUAGUUCAUCCUCUCCGGUUGGCCCUUUGAUAACUUCUGGCUUUGGGUAUACAUGGAUAAUUAGUGUCCGUGUUUCUACUUGAAACUGGUAAAAGUUGUCACUGGCUGGAAAAUGUCAUCUCAUGUGCAAGAUGGUCUGUUUACACUGGUACUUUAUAAAGCAGUAUUUUGUUUGUUUUGAGCUCUCUUGAACCUUGUCCAUCUUUCUCAUUUUGCUCACAAUAGGAUGGGACUGGUUUGAAGUUAAAGGAAAAAAUGAAGGUAUUUUGUCUUUCGGAGUUGUCACAUGACUCCUUCAUAAGAUUCAAAAGCCCUGAAAGGCAUUUAUACAUGGAGUUGUUCUAACCUUUUAAAAAGGAAAGAAACAACUUGGUGCUCUAAAGCGGAGCUGUUUUCAAAAUGAAAAAUAAAAUGAAACAGGAAAUAGACUGUUGGCCCAGAUAGUCAUUCAGGUUUUAAAAAAUGGCCGCACACAGUAAUACUGCUAAAAAAAAAAAAAAACAAAAACAAAAACAAAAACUUACCUCCUUAUUGGGUUGCAUCUUUUUUCAGCUAUUAAUUUUAUACCAAAAUGUUAAAUAUUUAUAUUGCUUGAGUUUCAAUCUUGUAUGGAAAAAUAACUAGUAGGUCUAAAAAUUCUACGCUUUCCAAUAAAUAAGGUAAAAAUCAUC
rnacentral:lncRNA from 1 species